AGAGAGAGACAUGCGCGCAUAUCAAUAAGCGGAGGAAAAGAAACUAACAAGGAUUCCCCUAGUAACGGCGAGUGAAGCGGGAAGAGCUCAAAUUUGAAAUCUUAAAGGGUUUCCCUUUACGAAUUGUAGUUUAAAGAAGUGUUUUCUGUUGAGGUUUUGGUAAAAGUUCUUUGGAAUAGGACAUCAUAGAGGGUGAGAAUCCCGUAUUUGACCUUUACUUUCAACUUUGUGAUACACUUUCAAAGAGUCGGACUGUUUGGGAAUGCAGUCCAAAAUGGGUGGUAAAUUUCAUCUAAAGCUAAAUAUUGGCGAGAGACCGAUAGCGAACAAGUACCGUGAGGGAAAGAUGAAAAGAACUUUGAAAAGAGAGUUAAACAGUACGUGAAAUUGUCAAAAGGGAAGCGUUUGACACCAGUGUUGUUUUUCUGAAAAUCAAUUAAAGAACUGUUUAUGCUAAGCUUGUUUAGACUUUAUCAGCUAACUGUUUAGUUUUGAGCUUUUCUUUAAUGCACUUUUCAGUUAACAAGUCAACAUCAAUUUCUUUUGCUGUAAAAAAGCUUGAGGAAGGUGGCUUGAGAUUCGUCUUAAGUGUUUAUAGCCUCUUGCCUAUGCAGUCGGAGAGAUUGAGGUCUGCAGCGUAGAUCCUUCGGGGCUAAAUGCAUUUGUGCCUAAGUUAUAGCAUUUUAUAGACAACUUGUUGACUAUGAUUUGUCUUGUAGCUUACUCGCUUAUGUUAUUUUACCUACGCUUAGGAUGUUGAGCGCAUGUCUCUCUCU
rnacentral:rRNA from 1 species